rnacentral:rRNA from 1 species
AGUGAACGCUGGCGGUAGGCCUGACACACGCAAGUCGAACGGCAGCACAGUAAGAGCUUGCUCUUACGGGUGGCGAGUGGCGGACGGGUGAGGAAUACAUCGGAAUCUACUUUUUCGUGGGGGAUAACGUAGGGAAACUUACGCUAAUACCGCAUACGACCUACGGGUGAAAGCAGGGGAUCUUCGGACCUUGCGCGAUUGAAUGAGCCGAUGUCGGAUUAGCUAGUUGGCGGGGUAAAGGCCCACCAAGGCGACGAUCCGUAGCUGGUCUGAGAGGAUGAUCAGCCACACUGGAACUGAGACACGGUCCAGACUCCUACGGGAGGCAGCAGUGGGGAAUAUUGGACAAUGGGCGCAAGCCUGAUCCAGCCAUACCGCGUGGGUGAAGAAGGCCUUCGGGUUGUAAAGCCCUUUUGUUGGGAAAGAAAAGCAGCAGGUUAAUACCCCGCUGUUCUGACGGUACCCAAAGAAUAAGCACCGGCUAACUUCGUG